rnacentral:rRNA from 1 species
GAUUAACGCUGGCGGCGUGCAUAACACAUGCAAGUCGAACGAUGAAACUUAGUAGACUUCUUCGGAAAGACACUAAGCGGAGUAGUGGCGAACGGGUGAGUAACGCGUGAGUAACCUGCCUUACACAAGGGGAUAGCCUUUGGAAACGAAGAAUAAUACCCUAUAAAACUAUAAAAGCACAUGCUAUAAUGGUCAAAGUGAUAGCGGUGUAAGAUGGACUUGCGUCUGAUUAGCUAGUUGGUGAGAUAAAAGCUCACCAAGGCAACGAUCAGUAGCCGGCUUGAGAGAGUGUACGGCCACAUUGGGACUGAGACACGGCCCAGACUCCUACGAGAGGCAGCAGUGGGGAAUUUUGCACAAUGGGGGAAACCCUGAUGCAGCGACGCCGCGUGAUUUUGAAGGCCUUCGGGUUGUAAAAAUCUUUUGUAUAGGAAGAAAAUGACAGUACUAUACGAAUAAGGUCCGGCUAAUUACGUG